rnacentral:rRNA from 1 species
CAGUAGCCGCGGGAAUACGAAGGGGGCUAGCGUUGUUCGGAAUUACUGGGCGUAAAGCGCACGUAGGCGGAUCGAUCAGUCAGGGGUGAAAUCCCAGGGCUCAACCCUGGAACUGCCUUUGAUACUGUCGAUCUGGAGUAUGGAAGAGGUGAGUGGAAUUCCGAGUGUAGAGGUGAAAUUCGUAGAUAUUCGGAGGAACACCAGUGGCGAAGGCGGCUCACUGGUCCAUUACUGACGCUGAGGUACGAAAGCAUGGGGAGCAAACAGGAUUAGAUACCCCGGUAGUCCCUGUCUCUUAUAC